UUGUUAGGUGACUGCGUACCUUUUGUAUAAUGGGUCAGCGACUUAUAUUCAGUGGCGAGCUUAACCGAAUAGGGGAGGCGUAGCGAAAGCGAGUCUUAAUAGGGCGCUUAGUCGCUGGGUAUAGACCCGAAACCGGGCGAUCUAUCCAUGGGCAGGUUGAAGGUUAGGUAACACUGACUGGAGGACCGAACCGACUACCGUUGAAAAGUUAGCGGAUGACCUGUGGAUCGGAGUGAAAGGCUAAUCAAGCUCGGAGAUAGCUGGUUCUCCUCGAAAGCUAUUUAGGUAGCGCCUCAUGUAUCACUCCAGGGGGUAGAGCACUGUUUCGGCUAGGGGGUCAUCCCGACUUACCAAACCGAUGCAAACUCCGAAUACCUGGAAGUGCCGAGCAUGGGAGACACACGGCGGGUGCUAACGUCCGUCGUGAAAAGGGAAACAACCCAGACCGUCAGCUAAGGUCCCAAAGUCAUGGUUAAGUGGGAAACGAUGUGGGAAGGCUUAGACAGCUAGGAGGUUGGCUUAGAAGCAGCCACCCUUUAAAGAAAGCGUAAUAGCUCACUAGUCGAGUCGGCCUGCGCGGAAGAUGUAACGGGGCUCAAACCAUGCACCGAAGCUACGGGUAUCAC
rnacentral:rRNA from 1 species